GAGUAACUAUGACUCUCUUGAAGCUUCGAGAGAGAUAGCUGGGUACCUAGGAGCAAUCCCUGGGUAUUAUGCCAGCUAGUCAAGGGCCUUGCAGCGGUAGGGGGUAGCCCCCCAUACACAGUAUCGUUGACAGCGGAUUAGUACCGUACCAGGGAUGGUACGGGAAUACCUGCUGGUAAGCCCUGGCAACACCACCUGGUUCGGGGGAGGUCGUUUGGGAACCACAAGGCCGCAAGGUCUUGCCCACUCGGUUAAUCCCGAUGCGAGGCAGAGUAGCGUCUGCCCGCGGUAACGUGCGGAAAGGGGUGCGUUCCCACGCAAGUGGGGGCGUAAGGUACGUACUAAACCCACCCAUAACAGGGUGCCUGGGAUGUGAGCGCUGUGCAAGCAAGCACUCAGGGUGGCGAUGAGGCCGGUCCAAAUAACCGGAAGAGCCUGGUACAAUUGAAGGUAGCCAAAUGCCUCGUCAUCAUACGUAAUAGCUGUCCAAGGGGGCCUUCUCUGCAGGGUCGGUCUCCGAGGGCAUGCUCGGUUUGCCUGGUUUGCCUGGUUUGCCUGGUUCCUGAUGCGCGUUGCGAACACCGUGGGUCCUUCACUGGGCCCUAAGUGACACCGGGAUAGGGAGGAAGGGGUCGAUCCAUCACUGGGUUGGCCCUGGAGCCCCGAUGCCUGCACCAAAUUGCAUGGAAGAGGUCCCCCCGGGACCUCGACCUGCAGCCAACCCGGGCUCCGGCUCGGGAGGUUCAGAGACUAUACGGUGCUUAAAGGAGAAAUAGUCCAUCGAUAGGUCCCGAACAGCUGUAUAGGCGAGUGGCUUGCACCGAGACUGGGUAGUAGCAUCCUCCUUCACCGGGGGAAGCGAGGCUCAGGGGUAGGGAGCAUCGGCCAGAGGCCCGGAUGCUUAGUACGGACCGCCGUAGAUGUUAAUUUGUGACGCGCAUGAAUGGAUUAAUGAGAUUCCCACUGUCCCUACCUACUAUYUAGCGAAACCACAGCCAAGGGAACGGGCUUGGCACAAUUAGCGGGGAAAGAAGACCCUAAACUCAAUGGGGUCAACAGGAGGCUGGUGAAGGGUGGCUAGUACUUGACCCAGGGAUGGGCCAGGGAAUACCCGCUCGUAGCUAGUGCUACCUUCUAGUUGAAUCAGCAAGUAGGGUACCCUGUUAGGCAAGGGGUAUCCGAAGGUGCAAGGAGCUGGUCAGCAAGACAACCUGGUACGAGGGAACUCUGGAAUGGCCUUCGGGCGCCUCCAGACGAUCUCGUGGCGAGCUCAUAGCAAGAGCCGUCGUAACGUGCGGAAAGGUGUCGGUCUAGGGGUUUGUUUAGCACCUAGGCUUAAGGAACGUACUAAACCCAUGCGCGAGCAUGCCGGGCGGAUGAGGGCUUGCACCCCGAGGCCGCCUUAAAGGGACCGUACUGCGGCUAUCUGGUCAAUGGGCGACGGCCUUGCGACCCCCCGUAGUAAACCUAGCCAGGAAAUGGGCUGGGGGAGGUCGGUAUCGGAUUGGUUGAGCUUGACUCUAGGCACAAAAGCGAGGUGAUUCUAAAGGUGUAGCAUAGGUGGGAGGGCCUGGCCCGACCUUGAAAUACCACCACUUUCGACAUUGCUUUGCUAAUGCUGUAACGAACGAACGGCCCCCUGGACGUCGGUGCCCUCGCGGUAUCGGCCCCGGGUAAGGUCAUCUUCUAGCGCUUUCCUAGCUAGGUACGGUGGUUUGGCCCCUCUGGGUGAGUACCUUGGGACCACGAGCUGGGCUUACGAGUCUGGUGAGUGUCGCUUCCGGGGGAACCAGGGACGGUUGGAUCACCCUCUGCCUGGCGUAAUCGGGUACGUUAGCCGUGUAGCAGACCAUUUGUGUUGGGGAGUUUGGCUGGGGCGGAAAACUGCUACACGGCAACGGCAGUCUCCAAGGUCCACUCAGAGACGACAGAAACGUCUCGUAGAGCAUAAAGGCAAAAGUGGGCUUAACUUACAUUCUCAGUAGUAAUGUGAAGCAAGAAAUUGAGGCUUAACGGUCCUUAACGUCGGGUGCCAGCCCGCGUUUGAGGUGAGAGAAAAGUUACCACAGGGAUUGAUCACACAAGGUAACGAAGAGGAGUGAAACGGGUAUCGACUGCGUGAGUUUAAAAGGUCCCCUAGUAGGUUCGUGCACGAACGGGGUCCACUCAUCGACUGAUGCUACGCCUUCCUCGACCCGGGUUUGCGAAAGCGGUGUUAGUACUGCCUCGGUCCCACGCUAUGCGGGGGGCCGGGGGCACGACGGGAAAGCAUCGUGAGUAGCGGAUCCGGGGGAUGGGUUCCGUAUAGUCCACGACCGAGGCGAGGCGCAGGUUGCCUCGGUCAGGGCGACACACCUGGUUGCUGGGAAGCUCUAGAUCCUGAUCCGAUCGCUCCUCUCACGGGGGGUGAACGGUGAACGGUGAAAACGGCAUUGGUACCAAGCGUUCUGCGGCGAUACCGCAGCGUGAAGUGAAGGGCUGGGCAACCCCGGUCGGGGCUCCUUCGGGGGCAACGGCUGGGGACCUGGUCCGACGCGGGUGAUAAUCCAGUGUUCGGGACAACCAGCAGGCAACAAGGUCAUCCAGAGGUAGGUCCUUGAGUCGACACCAUAGCGGGCGGCUCUGUUAGAGGCUUCAUCUCGGGCAAAACGAUGACUACGUGCUUCAACGACUGGUAAGGUGUGGGUGUGGAUGGUCCGGGCUGGCUUCUCCUGUCACAGGGAGGGGUAGCUUGGGUCGCUCGCGCUUAAGGUACAGUCUACCCCCACCGCUCAACAGACAAGACGGGGUCCCUCUUAACCGGGGGAUGACGGCUUCGAAGAGGGCGGUGCUUGGUACCACCAUAGGCAAAGGGUGGGGCUUAACCCCGGUCCGAGAGGGCCGGUUCAGUGAUGCCCUUCCCCUACGCUUCAACCCACUACUGCAGGGUUAGGCACCAGGGGAUCGGGUUUCGGUGCUCUUCCUCUGCUAUCGGGUCAAGCCCUCUCCACGGGGGGGGCAAGGCAAGGUAGCGGGGGAUAGGCCUUGGCAUCACGGGAAGCGCAUUACUAUUACCAAACCGCAUCUCGCCAGGGUCGACAAGGGUAGCUGGGCUCGGACUGGUAUUCAGGGAACUGGCUUGUGGCCGCCAAGCGUUCAUAGCGACGUGGC
rnacentral:rRNA from 1 species